GAAGAAGAGAAGCUAUUGUGACGGAGUGAAACACAGUUUCUCCAUAGCCUGCCACCAACACAUCCCAACCAUUAAUCAUACCCUGAGUUUACCUUAGCUCUUUAUGUAUCUUUUCUUAACACAGCUCCAUUCAAAAGGACCUAUUUACUACAUACAUUAAAAUUUUCUUAUUUAAGAUUGUAUCAUCUCACAGAAUGAGAGCUCUCUAGACCUAAAAGUUCUUUUGCUCCUUUUUUGUUCAAUAACAUAUCCAAAGUUCAAAGCAGAGCCUGGCUGGACAUGGUAGUGCAGGCCUGUGAUCCCAGCACUUAAGAGAUUAAGGCCCAGAAGAUCACAGCCUGGACCACAUUGUUGAGAGCCUGCCUGAAAAAAAAAAAAAAAAGAACACGAGGCUGGCACAUAGGAACCCUUCCCUGUACACUUCUAUUGUCACUGUUAGCAGUUUAGCAUGCUGCUGUCCUGUGUAUGUAGCACUUAUGGAAAAUCUGGGGUCAAGAGCCACGUGAUGAUUUAUAAAAGAUGACACAUGAGCAAAUUGGCAAGAAAAACCAGAUCUUCUUAUCGCAGCCCAAUUCUUUGCCUAACUCCCAACUCAAUCUUGCCGCACUUUUAUUAUGCUAUAAAACGAAUAACUGUUUAUGAGUUCAUUCCCGGGCACAUUAUUGCUUUUAUAUCACAUCAAAGAACUUGAGACAGGUAAAAGAUAUAGCCAUAUUGAUCUCAGAAACUCAGCUUUUCUCCCUCCCUCAUGGCAUCCUGAAUUGAGGCUCAUUUUGAGAACGAGAGAUAUUCCUUUACAGAAAGCUAUCUCCAACAAGUCUACCUGCAUAUCCAGGCAGGACAACUCUGGCUACUCAAAUCACAGACUUUUCAAAUCAACCUUCUGAGUCAAGAACCCUUUGAGUUCUAACCCACCAUCUCUUACUGAACCUUAGAGGUUAUAAAAUGUCGCAUUUUUGUGAUGUCUUUAGCUCCAGGUACUCAAUGUGCCCCCCAAGGAACCUGAGAAGGUGUGGGAAGAAGCCUGGGUCAGGAGGUCUAUCUGGCAAUCAGGCCUGAGGUUAAUGGGAUCUGAUAGAAUUUGGAUGCCAUCUGAAAUAGAUAGUAUCAACCUGAGAAGCCAGAAGAUGUGGGAGUGAACAGGUUGGGUUUCUCUUAUUGAAACGAGUGAUUCCUUGACUGUCAAGAGAACAUGGUCACUUGAGCACACCACAAGAAGGCACACCUUUAAGUCCUCAUGCUAUUUCUUCAUUCUUCCAAUACGAGAAAUGCCAUUUUUAUUAGAAGAUGGGAAGAACGAUUACUCUGAGAAUGCCAGACUACUCUUUUGCCACAUAUUCCCAAGGCUACUGGUCAAAGGUAGAGGACUUGACAGAGUAGAUCAGGGGCAUUGUACCCAUGUUCUUGGCUUAACUAGUACCAGGCUGUAUUGAAAGAUGGAUACAGAAUACUAGCAUACCAGAGACUACAACUUCUCAUAAAGCUCUGCAACACCUUCACACAUACCCUGAUUAUGUACAUUAAAGCAUCCAGAGUCAUUGUAGCAGAGUUUCUCAUCAUCUCUUCUUCAUGAAUGAGAAAGCUUACAUAAGAGACAUCCAUGACCCUCAGGACACAUAACUGAAAAAUUACAGAGUCUAUAUCCAACAUCUUUCAGUUUCUUCUCUAUUCUUGCCACUCCUCUCCUCUAUUCUGCCUCCUGCCUUCAGGAAUAUUCCACCAGGAUGCUCUGAGGGCAUCUCCUGUAUAUACCUUAUACCAGAGUGUCAUCUUCCCCUCAUCCUCUUCCUUUCUUCCUGUCUUAUUUCAAAACUUCCUUUCUUCUGGUCAGCAAUUCUAGACACCUCAGAGGAGCACUUGUACAUUGACCUUUCUCGCUGCACUUUUAAAACCUGAUACUGGGUUUCCAUGGUUCAAAUGCCAAAACCAUUUGCUCUUCCCCGCUGUCUCUGUCCCCUUUUUGACAUAGGUCUUCAUUUGUCCCUGUUGUGAGAUAAUGCUCAAUGAUUUGAUGUAUUUGCCACACCAUUGUUGAGCCUGGUGCUGAGCAAAAGAAGCCUUAGAUCUUGCUUUCUUAAUAUCCUGCUCUUCAAAGGAGGAAUAAGCAAAUAAUUGUUCCAAUAGAUAUAGAAAGGCAACCACCUACAAAGGCAUAUUUCUAAGCCAUAGCUAUGAUCACAGUGUACCCAGGGCUCUAGCACACUGCUAGUGUGUACAUGGUUGAAAACAACUUAAGCCCAUUGGCCUGCGGUACAUGGCCCUUCAUGCUCUGACUCCAAGCACCAGAUUAGGUUACAGGUUGCUGCAACCUCAUUUCUCCCCAUCUCUCACUCGGUUAACUCAUCCUAUGACUAAGCCAUAUCUGAUAGAUGUGUUUAUGAUUUCAUUCUAUUCCAGAAACAGCUCUGCCUCUUUAAUCAUCCCCAUCUGCCUUAAGCAAACUUUUUUCAAAAGUGUUGUCAUUCUCCUUGAUAUUCAAAAUAGUGUUCAUUGCUUAAGUAGACCUUCCCAUCGCUGGGUUAUAAUGAAUUACUCUCAGUGUGUUUCCCACACCACUGGUAUAACAGCCCUCUUGUUAUGGUUACUUCCUAUCCUUUCUGCCCUACCCCUAACCACCAAGACUGUGAAUCUCUUAUGAGCAGAGAUCAUUUUAAUCAAUAAAGGUAUGAAUUGUGUUUUGUUCAUUACACACUGUCAAAUCUUAAUGAGGUAAUAGAGAACAUAAGCAUAUCAAGAUAUGUAUAUCCUUUGACCAUGAGUACAGAAUUGCUCAAAGCUAUUCUUCUCAUCUCAAUUUCAUUUCAAGAAAUUCUCCUUCCUGUUUUUGUUCUUUCAAAAAUCAUAGUCAGGUGUUUCCAAGGUCUUUGUAUCUUGAUAUUGCAACAUAUGUCUUAUCUAUUAAAAAAAAAUGUCUCCCGCAGCCUGUUUCCUAAGCCUGUGAGACAGUUGGAACAAGGACAAGUUGAUUAUAAAGUGGCUACACCUCUCCUCC
rnacentral:lncRNA from 1 species